CCUAAAGAGAUUUUGGUAAGAUAUCUCAAAAAAGCUAUCACAGGAAUACCUAGUUUAUGACAGCCAAGCGUCCAUAGCGACGUUUCCCUUUGAUCCUUCGAUGUCGGUUCUUCCUUUCCAAUGAAAUUUUUUUUUGCUAUUCGUUAGGUUGUUCUCCCAUUAUUAGGGAACAUGAGCUGAGUUUAGACAUAUAUAUGACAUCAG
rnacentral:ncRNA from 1 species